GGAGAGACCCCCGCGCCGGGGACACUGCCCCGCACCCGGGCCGGGGCAGCCGCUGCAGGGGGAGCCGCAUCGGGAACGGGGCGCCGCUCCCCGGGACCCUCGGGCCCCGCUCCCGCUUCUCAGGACCUUCGGUGGGGCUGGGUCCCGCUCCCCGGGACUCUCGGGACUCUGCUCUCCGGGACCUCCGUGCCCAGACCAGCUGGGGCUCCACAUUCAAAGAUGACUCAAUCCUCUGCGCCUCUGCUCUGGCGGGGGAGCUGGGAUGCGGUGGCCUGUUCCAUCCGCACGGCAGUGACGGUGCAGGGAAAUGGUAGCGUCCUCCCCGUCAGCUGACAGUCUGCUGAUCCCCGUUCCCUUAAACCCAAAUCUGCCACAGGGAGUGCAGUGUUCCUGCUCUGAUGCUCAGCUGGGUUGUGCUGCCAUCCUCACAUUAAAACUACUUCAAUUCUGCUUA